UCUCAAAUCUCAGCUGAUACCUACUUGUACUCAUCACCUCCUCCUCCCAAGAAGCCCUAUUAUUAUCACUCUCCUCCACCACCUUCACCUCCUCCACCUAAGCCAUACUACUAUCAUUCACCACCACCACCUUCACCUCCUCCACCCAAGCCAUACUACUAUCACUCACCACCACCACCUUCACCUCCUCCACCUAAACCAUACUACUAUCACUCACCACCACCACCUUCACCUCCUCCACCUAAACCAUACUACUAUCACUCACCACCACCACCUUCACCUCCUCCACCUAAACCAUACUACUAUCACUCACCACCACCACCUUCACCUCCUCCACCUAAGUCAUAUUACUAUCACUCACCACCACCACCACCCAAAAAGAAGCCAUACUACUACCAUUCUCCCCCACCACCUUCACCACCUCCUCCUAAGCCAUACUACUAUCACUCUCCCCCACCGCCUUCACCUCCUCCACCUACGCCAUACUACUAUCAUUCUCCCCCACCACCCUCACCACCUCCACCUAAGCCAUACUACUACCAUUCACCACCACCCCCACCGAAGAAGAAGCCUUACUACUACCACUCUCCACCACCACCUUCACCUCCUCCUCCAAAGAAGCCAUACUACUACCACUCCCCACCUCCUCCCAAGAAGCCCUACAAAUAUUCAUCUCCCCCACCUCCAGUGCACCCUUACCCUCAUCCUCACCCCCAUCCCCAUCCACACCCCCACCCUCACCCUCCCUACGUUUACAAAUCUCCUCCCCCACCCCCUAAGAAGCCAUACAAGUACCCAUCCCCACCACCUCCAGUCCACGUUUACCCUCACCCUCACCCGCAUCCACACCCUCACCCUCAACCUCACCCCCAUCCACAACCCCACCCUCCCUACAUUUAUCAGUCUCCUCCAC
rnacentral:lncRNA from 1 species